AAUAUUUCGCAAUGGAGGGAACUCUGACGCAGCGACGCCGCGUGAGCGAUGAAGGUCUUCGGAUCGUAAAGCUCUGUCCUCAGGGAAGAAGGUCUUUUGACUUGACGGUAUCUGUUGAGGUAGCCCUGGCUAACUACGUGCCAGCAGCCGCGGUAAUACGUAGGGGGCAAGCGUUGUCCGGAAUUAUUGGGCGUAAAGGGUGCGUAGGGGGCCUUUUAAGUCAGAUGUGAAAGCCCACGGCUUAACCGUGGGAUGGCAUUUGAAACUGGAGAGCUUGAGUAUCGGAGAGGGUAGUGGAAUUCCCAGUGUAGCGGUGAAAUGCGUAGAUAUUGGGAGGAACACCAGUGGCGAAGGCGACUACCUGGACGAAAACUGACGCUGAUGCAUGAAAGCUAGGGGAGCAAACA
rnacentral:rRNA from 1 species